CACAUAGUCUUUACAAUAAUCAAAGUGCAAAAACGAAACGUAUAUAAACGCGGCCUUCACAGGCAGCCGACUGGGGGUUGCCGCUAGCCCACGCCUAGAACUCGUCAAAGUCCUGGAACUCCUGGAUAUCCGCCUCGACGCCUUCUUCUCUACCUGAGCAUAGAUUGCACCAAAGGCAACCUGGUGUUUUGUGAAAGCAAGGGUGAGUACACAUCAACGUACUCAGCAAAUGUCCCGUUUGGCUGUAGUGGACUAGCUUUAUGUGGGGUUAAGUCAAGCAGUUGCUUUUAGUUGGUCAGAUUAUUAUUACUAGUAGAGAGAGCCAAGUUUUAGUAUUAACCACGUUAUUAACCCGAAUGUACCCUUUCCAAACGGAAAGAAUAACACUUACCAUCACCAGAGUCAAUACCAAAACCAUCAUUCUCAUUGCCACCUGUAAGCCGAACAUCUCUGAUCAAGUAUCACUAAUCAAUGGAGCUCCCUUGGCUACUCAUAACCGCGAGCACUGUUGAUAUAUCAGUUUCAUAAUACUCUGCAGAGGUUGUGCACUUUACCCACAAGCCAUGAUUCUCUCUUGCCUCGUGCCGAUCAAACCCUUAAACACUACAAAGGUGAGUAGGCAGGGUCUCACUACGUAGCCUUUACAAAGAUUCCCUGGGGCUGUAGCCGCCCGUUAGGUUUCCUAAAUGCUCCGCACUCCUCCCCAAGGGGGCGAACCCAAGCUUGGCAGAGCGAGCCGCAUACACCGAGCCCCAUUAACGGCACGACGGCUAAGUGAACUACACCCCGGUUCCUCUAAUUAUUCAACUAAGGGCAUCCCAUUUCACCCUCAUGGUUGCACUGUUUUCCCGGGCGAUCAUCCAACGAACAGGUCCUUACGGAGAGGCACUCGAGAAACCGCUCGAGCCCCCUUGAAUACCACAAGUAUAACAUCAUAAUAGAGGAGGGGAAACAGCGUAUCAUUGAUAAUUCUCAUCAUGUUCAUUGAUUAAAGUUGAGCAAUAGCAUAAAGCUACACAAUAAUAAUCCAACCCAAAUAGGUAAACAAGGACAUGGAUAACAAAAGCUAGUCAAUUCUUAAGUUGAUCAUGGCAUGCGGGUUGAUGAAUUAUACAGUAAAUGGGACAUAAUAGGUCAGAGGACACUUGUCUUCACCAAACAUAUGCUUAGGAUCUUCAGCCUCGUAGAACUCGGAGAGUUCAGUCUCUUGGUCGCCGAAGCUUGACUGUCGAUUCCUCGAAGCUCGGAAAUGGAUCACAGUCUAUUCGCGUCACCCAGCGAAUACCAACAGGCACAAACAAACAGACAUAUGUAUAUGCAUAAGAACAUUACACCAUUCAAAUAAAAAUAUAAUAAAACAUGCAAAAUGAAAUAGAGUGCGCUACUAUAGUCACGCGAGGAAAAGAAACACGAUAGUCGGAGCUACGGUCGAGAAGUUAGCGCGUUUACUCUAAAAAUAUUAGUUAGAACAUUUGAUUCGAUGUUAUCAAAUAUAAAUUAUACCUAAUAUUUAGUUUCGCUUAACCUGUUACACUAGCAGCUGUUAGUUAACUAGUAAUUUAAUUAAAGCGAGAGAUUAUAAGCGAUGCGAAUUUACGAUACAUGAAACAACACGACAGCGUGCAGAAGGACGCUCGGACACGCACGACCACACGCGAUUUAGCGCGCGGACGACGCCUGAAACAGCAUGACAGUGCGCAAACGACGCGCGGACACGCGCGACAUAGCACGCGGACAACGCGCAGCGAUGCGCACGAUCCGCACGCGCGACACGCGGGGACGACUAACCAACAUCACCUUUAUGAUAAACAAGUAUUAAUUAAAAACAUUCGAGUAGGCAUAAUCUUAUUAACAUGUAUUUGUAAAGCAGAACUAAAAUUAUAAAUUGAUUUAAGUAGAUUGCUACUUUACUAAUUAUAGGAUAAGUAAAUAAAUAAUCACUUAAUUAACUAAAACAUGUGGGCAACGUCGUUACAAUUCUAACGCAACCGGAACAAAACAAAACAUAUUUAUAACACAAGAGCUAACAUAUAAUUAGCAAUUCACAGAUUUAAAGUGAUGUGGCGGAUUCCUAUUGGUUGCAAACAAGUCACAACUAGGCCACACAAAACUUAGCCACGGAGAAUUGGAAAGGGGUGGGAUCGAGCAUGGCAUUUCUUCCUCCUCUCUGCAACUGCCCACGCACACAGGAACAUAGGUUGCCAUGGGGACUGCAGGGGCUAGCUCGGCCUGAUCUUCACACUCGGAGGGAUGGGGCUUGCUACGCCCGCCGGCUGGCAGGAGCACCGCGCGCUGGAGGGGACGGUCAGCAAGGGCCGCUUGGGCUGUGCGCGGGCGCCCUGCUGCCUGUGGCUAGGGGCGAGCUCGCAGGCCAGGAAGAGCGACCAUGGGGCCAGGGCGGGGGCGAGGCAGGGGCCAGGGCGGGGGCGAGGCAGGGGCCAGGUGCGCGGGGCCUGCACGCCGGGGCGCUGGGCUCGCUGCGCACUGCGGGCCGCGACGGCAGCAGGCCAUCGGCCAUGCAUAGGGACAGGGAGCAGGGACCGGACGCCUAGCGCGUGGGCAAGCCGCCGAGCUAGCGCGCCGCCACGCCGGCCGACCGCCGCGCCGCGCCCUGCGCGGGGGGUCACACUCGACCGUGGAUCUAGCGCGGGGGAGGGCAGCCAUGGCCAGGGGCGAGCCAGCCGAGGGGCAUGGGCGGGCUGGAGCCGCGCCCGCGACUGGUUGCUGCGACCUAGGGGAUGAAGGGCGCCUGGGGAGCUGGGCUGCGCGCUGGCCGGUGGGGAGGCCGCGACAAGGGCGAGCCGCCGCGCAGGGCCUCCUGGCCGCGACGCGGGGCGGGACCGUGGGACUUGGCCGCAUAACGGAGGGAAAGGGAGCCACGCGAGGUAUCACCGAGAGGAAACGAACCGCUCGGCCGGGGGACAGAGAGGACUGCUCGCCGGGGAAGGAGAACGGCGCGACGCGGGGCUGCAGGGAGGGUCCGUCGAGGGGGAGAGAGGAUGGGGAAGGGAAGAGAGGGGAGAGGACUCACCGGGAACCGCCAUGUGCAGGGACGACAGCUUCUGCGUGAUUUGGAUCUGGGGAAGGAGACUAGAGGUUAU
rnacentral:lncRNA from 1 species